GUGUUAAGGGAGUGGAAGCAUGGAAACAAAGGCAGGAAGGCAGUGAGAUGGCACGGAGCGUGGAGAUAAUUCACAGUCAGCUUCUCCAUCAGACAAGGAUCUGUAAUUGAAGUGACAAAGAAGAUGCAUCACCGAGACGCUUGUUAGUGUCGGAGGCUGUAGAGGCUGACAUCUCCUGUAUCCCUCCUCUGCCAAUCACUGAGAGGUUAUUUUUGAAAGGGGGAGGAGGGGGGGGGGGUGUGAUUGUGUUCAAUACAGUCUGUGAUGAUCCAUGGGGUUCUUUUGGGGUUUUUUUUUUUAUAAAGUCCUUUAUUUAGACUGUGAUUUAAAUUGAAGGCAUCUUCAGGGGACACUUCAUCAAGCAGAAGGUCUUGGGUUUGAGCCCCAGAGGAACCACAUACUGGGCUCCACCCAGGGGCAGUGUGGGAUCAGUUAAGUUCAGAACCAGUUCCGUCCAUCAUUGUCUGGAAAGACACGUCUUUAACUCCUGCCCUGAUGGGUUUUUUUCCUGAGUCGUCAGAUUUUACAGACAUUCAGAUGCACCUUAUUAUUCAUCAUUACGGCAGAGGAUAGGUGUGUGUGUGCAGAGGUGUGUGUGUGUGUGUUGACUACUUUUUUUUAUUAUUAUUUCACAGGAAAAAAGGUCCAAGAAUUACCAAUAUACAAGACAGAGGGCGUGGUCACCCUAAAGAUGGGCUCGUUGAAAUGUCCUCGCCAAGACCAAAGUGGACAAGUCCUGUGCAUGGACUGGCUGCCCCAAAAACCACACAAUGUAAUUGUUGUUGGAUUCUACGAUGGUGGAGUUGGAUUCUGGGAUCUGACCACUAAGUCUUCACUGUUACAAGUCAGAGAGUCGGACCAGUCUCUGAGUCUGCUGCCCUAUCGCUGCCUGCUGGCCCAUGACCACAGUGUCCGGUCCCUGACCUUCUGUCCAGCCUCCAGGUAAAGUCAACACCGUCUUAUUAUUAUGACUCGCUGUUGGACUAGGAGACAACAUUUGGUUUAAUAUCCAAGUUACAGUAGAAGUUUCUGGGUUUUUUUUAUAAGAAGGCUGUAAAAAAUACAGAAAUACCCAUCAAACAGCUGGAAUAUCAGUGACAGGAUACCAUGCGUACCACCAGAGGGAGCCCAAGUACCACUUUAUGGUACAUAUGGUGCGUGAACCAUAGUUUGAGAACCACUGAUUUCUCAGAAGGUGUGUAGGAACUGACAGGUUUAAACUGAACUUAACUGUGAAUGAAAACUUUUUCUAUAAAAAAGUGAACUUUAUUGACAGAAGUGUUCCACCCAGUGCUGAUGGCCACCUGACAUCAGCACUGACAUCAGCACUGACAUCAGCACUGACAUCAGCACUGAAGUCACUCAGAGCAGGUUUAUUGUCUCUGCCUUUAGAGUCUUUGAUGCAGAAAUUCAGCCUUUUUAUUGAUACCAUCACAGGAGAAAAAAAUAGUAUUUCUUCCUUGUUUAUCUUCUGGGUUUUUGUCUGCUGCUCUUUCAUGUUGGCAGUUUAAUUCCCGGCCGUCUUUAUGAAGCUGGGUUAGAGCAGCAGCUCAGGCACUCGCUGCUAAGAGCAGCUCAAUAAAUCCUGCCGACGGAGCGUUAUACUGACACACAGUCCUGGCUGUGGACCCAUAGUACAGGCACCAUGGUCUUCACUGGUCCUCCCACUCAUAGUCUCCACAGCCGUCACAGACUAGGUCUAAAUCCUAAUCCAAAUCUACAUCAUGAUCUGAUCCUCAAUCCUAAUCUGAAUCUGAUCUUUUUCUGAACGGCACAGUCUUGACUUUUUCUCAUCACACCUUGGUCACAUUCAUAUGUCAAAACAAAGCUGCCGAACGGUGGUAGUUUCAUCUUCCUCCCUGCUGAGGGCAGUGCUGUGGGAAAAUGAUGAAAAUAAAACAAAAGAGCUUCACUAAAUAAGAGCGACUGUGUCUGUGGACUGUGCCAUUCAAACAGUACCUGAAGGAACCGAUCCAGAGACUGGACUGUUGUCAACUGUGGAGGAAAGUGUCCAUGCUCAGAAAACUGUCCGCUCCUCGAGCGUCCAGUGUCUCAGCCCUGGUCUCUCUGCUCCAUUACUCCACUGACGUACAGGACAUGAUGAGACCAGUGAUUAAAGGUCCAUUUACACCAGCUGCCUCCUCCACAAGGCUCCUUUGAUGGAGCACAUUCACAGUGCAAGUCAGCGUGAGCGCUGAACCAACAACCUGAGGCAGGGAUGUCUUUUCAUUAGAACCCUGCCGCUCAUGUCACCAACCGUCUUUAGUCACCAGUCCUGACCCUAAACCUUCUCAGGCGUGGAGAACAAAUGAGAUGAAUGUGACGGGUGACGUCACGGCUCCACCACAGGUUUGGAGAAAUGCUGAGAUCUUCACAAGUUUAGUGUCUGUGUUCGCAGAAGUUGCUACAGAAACGCCAUAAAGAUAUUCAGGAAGUUACAGUAAAAAUCUAGUUCUGCAACUGCUACUCCAGUUUCAUCCAUUUGUCCCUCGGUGCCAAUGAAGUAUUUCUGAUUCUGCACCGUGCCACCACUGGUACAAGUGCCACGGUUUGAGAACCACUGAUAUGUGCCCCACAUAUGACUUGACGUGCAGCAGAGACAAACGUCUGGUCUGUAAUGAGACUCUCCCCCCUCCUCCACUGCUGCGUCUCGUCAUCUUUCUUCUCAGUUUGUCGUCUGUUUCUCUUUUGCUUGACUUCGUUCCAGCUGUCGUUCAUGGCCUGAAUGCGGCCCGUGUGUCUUUUUAAUCCAGG